rnacentral:rRNA from 1 species
GAUGAACGCUGGCGGCGUGCCUAAUACAUGCAAGUCGAGCGUACAGACGAGGAGCUUGCUCCUCUGACGUUAGCGGCGGACGGGUGAGUAACACGUGGAUAACCUACCUAUAAGACUGGGAUAACUUCGGGAAACCGGAGCUAAUACCGGAUAAUAUAUUGAACCGCAUGGUUCAAUAGUGAAAGACGGUUUUGCUGUCACUUAUAGAUGGAUCCGCGCCGCAUUAGCUAGUUGGUAAGGUAACGGCUUACCAAGGCGACGAUGCGUAGCCGACCUGAGAGGGUGAUCGGCCACACUGGAACUGAGACACGGUCCAGACUCCUACGGGAGGCAGCAGUAGGGAAUCUUCCGCAAUGGGCGAAAGCCUGACGGAGCAACGCCGCGUGAGUGAUGAAGGUCUUCGGAUCGUAAAACUCUGUUAUUAGGGAAGAACAAAUGUGUAAGUAACUAUGCACGUCUUGACGGUACCUAAUCAGAAAGCCACGGCUAACUACGUG